GCAGUCGGUCGGUUUGUCGCAACACAUUUAGGUGUGUUGAGGAAAGUCCGGGCAACAAAGAGCACCAUAUUUCCUAACAGGAAGCUAUUUGCGAAGGUAGAGCAACGUAGCAGAAAAUAACCGCCACCAUCCUUUGAAUAAGGAAGGAGGUAAGGGUGAAAAGGUGAGGUAAGAGCUCACCGGGUUUUGCAGCAAUGCAGAACGCUGUACGUCUUAUGGGUUGCAAGGUCAUGUAUAUCGGAUAUGUAGGGUUGCUCGCCCGAUGCCGAGGGGUGGACCGCUAAAGAGUAAUGGUGACAUUGCUCGCAGACAAAUGACAAACAUUUUCUUUUGUUAGAAAAUACAGAACCCGGCUUAUAGAUCGACUGCUUUU
rnacentral:RNase_P_RNA from 1 species